GCGUUGAAAAGCUCGGGGAUGACUUGUGGGUAGCGGUGAAAUUCCAAUCGAGCCCGGAGAUAGCUGGUUCUCCCCGAAAUAGCUUUAGGGCUAGCCUCAAGGUGAGAGAUACGGAGGUAGAGCACUGAAUGUCCUAGGGGGUAUUGCACCUACCGAAGACUAUCAAACUCCGAAUGCCGUCAUCUUAUACUUGGGAGUCAGACUGUGGGUGAUAAGAUUCAUAGUCGAAAGGGCAACAGCCCAGAUCGUCAGCUAAGGUCCCUAAAUGUAAGUUAAGUGGUAAAGGAUGUGGGAUUGCACAGACAACCAGGAUGUUGGCUUAGAAGCAGCCACUCAUUCAAAGAGUGCGUAAUAGCUCACUGGUCGAGUGAUCCUGCGCCGAAGAUUUCCGGGGCUAAAACUUACUACCGAAGCUACGGCAUCAGUAAUGAUGGGUAGGGGAGCUUCCCAUACGGGUUGAAGCAUGACCGUAAGGACAUGUGGACAGUAUGGGAGUGAGAAUGUUGGCAUGAGUAGCGAGAUGUGGGUGAGAAUCCCACAGGCCGUAAACCCAAGGUUUCCAGGGGAAGGUUCGUCCGCCCUGGGUUAGUCGGGACCUAAGCUGAGGCCGAAAGGCGUAGGUGAUGGACAACAGGUUGAUAUUCCUGUACUACCGAUAACCGUUUGAGAGAAGGGAUGACACAGUAGGAUAAGCUAAGCACACUGUUGGUUAUGUGUGCCCAAGCAUUGAGGCAGUCAAAGUAGGCAAAUCCGCUUUGAUAAUGCUGGGGUGUGAUGGGGAGCGAAAUUUAGUAGCGAAGUAGCUGAUUUCACACUGUCAAGAAAAGUCUCUAUCGAGGUUAAAGGUACCCGUACCGCAAACCGACACAGGUGGGUGAGGAGAGUAUCCUAAGGCCAGCGAGAGAACUGUUGUUAAGGAACUCGGCAAAAUGACCCCGUAACUUAGGGAUAAGGGGUGCCACCAUCAGGUGGCCGCAGAGAAUAGGCCCAAGCGACUGUUUACCAAAAACAUAGGUUUCUGCUAAGUCGCAAGACGAUGUAUAGGAGCUGACGCCUGCCCGGUGCUGGAAGGUUAAGGGGAUCUGUUAGAGCAAUCGAAGCAGUGAACUUAAGCCCCAGUAAACGGCGGCCGUAACUAUAACGGUCCUAAGGUAGCGAAAUUCCUUGUCGGGUAAGUUCCGACCCGCACGAAAGGCGUAACGAUUUGGGCACUGUCUCAACAACAGACUCGGUGAAAUUGUAAUUCCGGUGAAGAUGCCGGAUACCUG
rnacentral:rRNA from 1 species